AAUCGCUUACGCAUUACGGCUUUCAUUUCGGUCCAAGAUGAGAUUGGCCGCUCCCCGUUCCUUCUUCGACUCGUUGUGAGUUGAUCCCACCAUACCAUUGCGUAAUCGGAGAACUCGAUUGCCGCCAAUUUCACCUUUUUGCUCUCCGAGUAGUUAUGACACUCGAAGAUCACCCCUAUUUUUCUCUCCCAUUCUAGAUAGGC
rnacentral:lncRNA from 1 species